CUUUUACAAAUUUACUCAAAUUAUUCUUAAUCUGUUUAUUUGAAUUUUAUCUUCACUAGAAUUGUCGCUUGAGUGUAAUAAUUUCUUGAAUCAGUUCUAAGUACAUUUUAUACCAUGUUUGAAAACCUAACACAAACAUUUUGAAAACUUAUUUUUAUUUGAAAAUAAUUUUGCAAAAUAGGAAAGUCGGUGAAAGUUAAAAGGAAAAGUUGAAAAAUUUGUUAGCGAAAUAGGACCUAGCUGAUUUUGCGCAACAGCAUUUGAAUCACUAAAUUUAAUAAUUUUAAGAGUGUAAUAAUAACGUAAACCACCUACUUUGUCCAAUGAUUAAUGGCAAAAAGUUUUUCAAACUUCAGGCUUUUAUCACGCUAUUUUACAACUGCCUACGUAUAUCGGAUAGUGUAGAUUGAACACAAAUGUUUGCAUAAUAUUCGGAAAAAGCACGUAAACUAUUAUUUUAACAGAAAAAUUCGUUAGUGGUACUUCUUUCGUUUAUUAAGAAUUUUUGCAGAAAUAAAAAAAUCUUGAUUGGUAAAAGCAAAAUAUGAAACUUUUAACGGUGACAAACUGUUUUAUCUCAAGUUUUGUCCAACUAUCAUUAACAAGAAAAUUAAAAACUAGUCUGCAGCCGUGGUCCAUAAAUUAUGAAUGUUUUUCAUAUUUGCUGCAUAGGCAUUAAAUAUGGUCUGCCAAAUAAAUUUUAAUUACGUCUACUUUGUUUCCAUAUAAAAAUACCUUGAUAUAGAUACAAAUAUUAUCAUUUUAAAAUCCGGUACGACUAUCAUUAAUUUCAGCCGUAAGCUUUCAGAGCGCGAGCUUUAAUAUAAAUAACAGUAAGAUAAGAUCAAAGAGCAAAUGUGACCCAUCAAAUGUGUAAGGCGACGAUGCUUUUCAGCUUAACUCUAUCUUGGGCUAACGGCCGGUUCCCUGCUGAGUCCGGGUCGAUACCGAACACUAAAUCUAUGGGAACGGUACGUCCCUAUUAAUCGAAUAAGAUUACAGAUUCGCACUUGGCUGAUCGAUCAUAGCAAACCAGUGCGUCACACCUCAUGACGAAUUAACAGAUACUUGUGUUGAUAAAUGGUGCCAAAAAUGAUCGAUGACCUUUGACACAAUUUCGGGACAGCAGUAAAUAUAUCACUCAUUAUUUCUCCGUGGAAACAAUAAAUUAGGCUCUUUUAUUGCCGUGUGGUUAUUAAAUGGGCUAUCAAAUUUUCUUCCACCCAUGAGCGAAUCUAUUUACGGCAGUACUCUAAAAUAAUAAAUUAAGAUUGUAUCAAAAAUUUCAUGUGGACAAGGAGCAGCGUCUAUAAAACCGCAUCUGCCCGCACCAAUAUUAAUAAAUUCCAACAAUUCUAUCUCCAAAACUUAAACAUGUGACAAUGUUUUUUGGUUGUUUAUAAUCGCGUUUCAUAAUAAUUUACAGGGCUACAUCUGAGACAGGAUCGUCGUCUACGCGACAACACUAAAUUCCUUGGAGUUUUUAGUGCUAUAGCCGUGGCUCUUGUUUAUGGCAUGGGCAACUUCCACGAUACUAUAUCGGUUCGCUCCGGAGAGGCAUCCUUUUCUACCUCCUUUAGACCGACUGACCCAAAUUUCUACUGAAUAAAAUGCAAAUUGGGGCCCGGCAUUAGACGGCACCGCCGACAAAGCGCUCCGUUAAUUUAGUGGCGUGCCAUAAAAUCGAAACUGCACUCUGCAUACAUUAAACAACCGCAAAACUGUUACUUUUCAAAUUCCACAAAAAACGGCUUUACGAUUUGUCUGUCAUUUUUCAGGUGUAAAUGAGAAUGUUUGAUCGUCGUGUGAGAUGCUCGGCGGUCCGGGCCACCCAAUAAGGCACACCUUUGCAACGUCACCUGCCCUGAUGAUGUGUGCUGGCACCUCUUCUUCUGAUUACAGAUAUCAGAGCGUGGUGGAGGCGACUAGUUGUCCCACCAACUAAAUGAUUCUUAAUUGCUUCAGAUCGAAUCGGACAUAUUUUCCAUUCUGAUGGACUGUAAAAUGUGACUCGGAACCACUAUCUUAUAAGAUAAUUAAACGAAUCGUUUAAACUGUCGUUAAAUCACCAAACGCCCGAAAAAACAUGCAACCAAAAUUGCUGACAUUGUGAUAUAAUGUGCCAGACUUUUUUUUGAAUA